rnacentral:rRNA from 1 species
GGCCUAACACAUGCAAGUCGAACGGUAACAUUUCUAGCUUGCUAGAAGAUGACGAGUGGCGCACGGGUGAGUAACGCGUAUACAAUCUACCUUUUACAGGGGGAUAGCCUUUAGAAAUGAAGAUUAAUAUCCCAUAGUAAGUUAUUGUUGCAUGAUGAUAACUUUAAAGCUUCGGCGGUAAAAGAUGAGUAUGCGUUCUAUUAGUUAGUUGGUGUGGUAACGGCACACCAAGACUACGAUAGAUAGGGGCCCUGAGAGGGGGAUCCCCCACACUGGUACUGAGACACGGACCAGACUCCUACGGGAGGCAGCAGUGAGGAAUAUUGGACAAUGGGCGAGAGCCUGAUCCAGCCAUGCCGCGUGCAGGAAGACUGCCCUAUGGGUUGUAAACUGCUUUUAUACAGGAAGAAACCUUUUCACGUGUGAAAAGCUGACGGUACUGUAAGAAUAAGGAUCGGCUAACUCCGUGCCAGCAGCCGCGGUAAUACGGAGGAUCCAAGCGUUAUCCGGAAUCAUUGGGUUUAAAGGGUCCGUAGGUGGAUAAUUAAGUCAGGGGUGAAAGUUUGCAGCUCAACUGUAAAAUUGCCUUUGAUACUGGUUAUCUUGAAUUAUUGUGAAGUGGUUAGAAUAUGUAGUGUAGCGGUGAAAUGCAUAGAUAUUACAUAGAAUACCAAUUGCGAAGGCAGAUCACUAACAAUAUAUUGACACUGAUGGACGAAAGCGUGGGGAGCGAACAGGAUUAGAUACCCUGGUAGUCCACGCCGUAAACGAUGGAUACUAGCUGUUCGGUUUUCGGACUGAGUGGCUAAGCGAAAGUGAUA